ACGGAGGGGGCUAGCGUUGUUCGGAAUUACUGGGCGUAAAGCGCACGUAGGCGGCCUUGCAAGUUAGAGGUGAAAGCCCAGGGCUUAACCCUGGAAUUGCCUUUAAAACUGCAUCGCUAGAAUUGUGGAGAGGUAAGUGGAAUUCCCAGUGUAGAGGUGAAAUUCGUAGAUAUUGGGAAGAACACCGGUGGCGAAGGCGGCUAUCUGGCCCGUUAUUGACGCUGAGGCGCGAAAGCGUGGGGAGCAAACAGGA
rnacentral:rRNA from 1 species